rnacentral:lncRNA from 1 species
UCUGCAUGGAGCGCUGAGGUGCACGUCCUGGCCCUCGUCUGCUCCCCCCACCCCCCAGACCCUGCCUCGGAAGUGGGGGAGCCUAGGGGGGUGAGAGCUCAGCCGGCCUCGGGGCAACACCCAUAAAGACCAGCGUCCUUAUGCACCCAGGGGUUGAGAGCCCCAACUCUGGAGCCUGUCCGCCUGGGUCUCCAUAUCCGCCAUUCACCGCGGUGUGAUCUUCAGAUUCCAGUUUCCUCAUCUGUAACAGAGAUGUAAGGCUUGCAUGACAACCUAGGUAAAGCCCUUAAACGGGGCCGCCCCUGGUAAGCACCAUUUGAGUAUGAGUUCAUAAUUGGUGACACUAUUUGCUGGGCUCUUGUUCUGUACCAGGCAGGGUGCUAAGCCUUGAGCAGAAGUCGGCUUGGUUAACCCUCUCAAGCAGAAGUUCAGUCAUCCCCCCAUUGUAUGGAUGAGGAGGUUGAGGCACAGAGAAACUAAGUCGCAUGGCCAGCGUCAUCCCGGGAAGUGACGGAGCCUGGAUUCCAACUAAGGCACAGGCUCUCGGCCUCUGUACAGCCCGAAUCACCCUGAGACCCAGGGGGACCUCUGAUUUGGGAGAAGGGAAGACAACAGAAGGAUUUAUCCAGACACAGUGCUUGAACCAGAAGCUUCUGCCUGGAACCCCAUCCCCACCUCCCUCUUCCAGUCCUUCCCCUUCCUGCCUCCACUAUUCUGAGAUAGCAAGUCAUAACCAAGGGCAACCACAGAGUGCUCCUGAAGUCUCAGAAGGCUUAGUGAGACGCCAUCCCUGCCUGGCUGGAUCCAAAAAACAUUGA